GGUGACAAAAUUGCGCGGGACGCAAACGACCCAAUUUUAGCAAACCUUAAAAACCACAGAGACAUAAGUCAGACAAAACAAAGCUCCAGAGUCUAGAUCUCCAAAUCGAACCUCCUCUGAAAGAUCUCUCUGCAAACCCAGCAGUUGUUGUUUUAAAACAACAAUGGCAAAACUUGAAUCACUUGAUGAUGCAGAACCAAACCAAGCCAACAACAACCUUAACUACAACAAUGAUAAAAAGAAAAGAAAUCAUGGAUCAACCAAGUUUUUUGUUUUUGUGGAUUACUUAUUCCUAUGCAUCUUUUUGGCUUUCCUUAUCUUCAUUGUUUUCAAGAUUGUUGGUCUCUAAUUUCUUAUCUCUCUCUAGCGAGGACCCCGCCUUUUGCUUUUGUCAGAUUAUUCCUUAUGAGACUACCACUUCGCCAUUUCGGAAGUUCCAGAUUCAGAGAGCAUUCUCAGGAGUUGUCUUUUUUGGAUUCUCAGAUGUUUUUAAUGAAAAACUAUACUUUGAAAAAAAAAGAAAAAAAUAAGAAUGGUUGAUUGUUUGCUUUUCCAGUCAUGCUUUGAGGUAGAACCAAGCAUUCUUUUUUGAAUGAAAAAUACUACUUGAAAUCUUGUGUUAUUAUUCUUCAUCUUCUCAUUGUCUUUAUUUACUAAUGGAUUUCUAACAAUGGUUUACACUGAGAAACGAACUUAAUUUGCAAUAAAAUCUUGGUAACCAAUGCUGCACUGGAAA